UACACACACAUUGAUUUAGGGUUUUUUUUUUUUUUUUGGGUUGUGAAAUGGUGUGCGAGUUCUGGGGGUUUAUCCUUUUUUGUAGGACAAAAAAUCUAGGGGCUUUAUGUUCUUCGGUAUUCACCCUUUUUCAUCACGGAUCGAACCUUUUUCGUAGGUCUAAAAAUUGAUGCUUGCAAGAGUUUGGGGCUGAUUCUAAAUAGUAGGGGGUCGGGGUUCUUUUUUCCAAAACAAAACUAUUCAAAGUCUUACUGAAACUCGUACGUAGCUCCACUACAAGCUAGAUUUGAAUCUUUGAGGAAGAUUAAUUCCCUGUUAGGCAUGGGUUCUCUUUAAGUAUAUUUUAUUAUUCAGUUAGUUCCUUUAUCUAUUUCUAGAUUAUUGCCUUCUUGUUAUCAGAUCUAUAUAUAUAUAUCCCAAAAUGAGCUAAAGAUCUAUCUUUUUCCUUCAAAAUAUUCAAAUCACUACCCCUCCACUUUUUUUCCCUGGAAUAAGAGUCAUCCCAAUUUUGAAAAGUAGUCUUUCUUUGUUAUUAUUUAGUUGUUUUUCUGAACUGGGUUUUUGAAAUUUCAAACAAAUCUUUGGUUUUCUUACUUAAUCUAGAAAGAAAACUAUAUCUAGGGAGGUGGGUUAGUUUUUCUAAGAAUGGAAAGUUCUAGAGGCAGGAGAGUGGAGAAGAGAGUGUACAAAGAGAGUUUGGAGGAUCAAGAUGAUAGGAUGUUUCAUUUGAAGAAGCCAAAGCUACUGGGUUUGGCUAGGUCUAUUGGGUUGUUUUUGUGUAUAUAAAUGUUUCUACUUCUGAAUUUCUUGGUUCUGUUCAUGGAUUGAUGAAGCUUGGAGUUUGGAUAAAGCUAUUGUGGUUCUUCGGAGUUCGGAUGAGUGGAUGUUGCAUAUGUAGCAGUUGUUGCUAUUUAUUGUCGAUUUCUUGGACUAUUUAAUUGUAUAAUUUAGAUGAUUGGUUGGAUUCUCUUGAGCUUAAUUUGGAUGGUUUGCUUGUGAGUGUGUACUGCUAAUUUCUUUUUAUUCAUGUUGGACUUUAAUUUCUUGUUACUCUUGGGUGAUAGUUCGUCUUUUGAAUUAAGGUAAUUUAUUUGAAGAACA